AUUGAACGCUGGCGGCAGGCCUAACACAUGCAAGUCGAACGAGUGGCGGACGGGUGAGUAAUGUCUGGGACACUGCCUGAUGGAGGGGGAUCACUACUGGAAACGGUAGCUAAUACCGCAUAGCAUCAGCUGUGCCCAGUUGGGUUUGGCUUGUUGGUGGGGUAACGGCUCACCAAGGCGACGAUCCGUAACUGGUCUGAGAGGAUGACCAGCCACACUGGAACUGAGACACGGUCCAGACUCCUACGGGAGGCAGCAGUGGGGAAUAUUGGACAAUGGGCGCAAGCCUGAUGCAGCCAUGCCGCGUGUAUGAAGAAGGCCUUCGGGUUGUAAAGUACUUUCAGCGGGGAGGCGUUACCCGCAGAAGAAGCACCGGCUAACUCCGUGCCAGCAGCCGCGGUAAUAC
rnacentral:rRNA from 1 species